CGUAGGGCGCAAGCGUUGUCCGGAAUUAUUGGGCGUAAAGAGCUCGUAGGCGGCUUGUCACGUCGGAUGUGAAAGCCCGAGGCUUAACCUCGGGUCUGCAUUCGAUACGGGCUAGCUAGAGUGUGGUAGGGGAGAUCAGAAUUCCUGGUGUAGCGGUGAAAUGCGCAGAUAUCAGGAGGAACACCGGUGGCGAAGGCGGAUCUCUGGGCCAUUACUGACGCUGAGGAGCGAAAGCGUGGGGAGCGAACAGGAUUAGAUACCCUGGUAGUCCACGCCGUAAACGUUGGGAACUAGGUGUUGGCGACAUUCCACGUCGUCGGUGCCGCAGCUAACGUAUUAAGUUCCCCGCCUGGGGAGUACGGCCGCAAGGCUA
rnacentral:rRNA from 1 species